UCAUACAGUAGAACAAAUUUUCCAAUGC
rnacentral:sRNA from 1 species